UACGUAGGGCGCAAGCGUUGUCCGGAAUUAUUGGGCGUAAAGAGCUCGUAGGCGGCUUGUCACGUCGAUUGUGAAAGCCCGAGGCUUAACCUCGGGUCUGCAGUCGAUACGGGCUAGCUAGAGUGUGGUAGGGGAGAUCGGAAUUCCUGGUGUAGCGGUGAAAUGCGCAGAUAUCAGGAGGAACACCUGAGGCGAAGGCGGGUUGCUGGGCCGACACUGACGCUGAGGCGCGAAAGCCAGGGGAGCGAACGGG
rnacentral:rRNA from 1 species